AGGGAUACGGGAAAGUUUUUCAAGAAAGUUGUUUAUCCGUGUUGUCACGUCCGUAGCCCGGUGCAGCCGGCAGCAGAAGGGAGACAGAACUGGAGCUGGUAGACUUACAAUAACAAAACUCAGAGCGAAGGAAUUGUGUUUGGAGAGGUUUUUUUUUUUUUUUUUUCUCUCUCUCUCCCCCCCUCCAUCUUGAGGCGCAACAAAUCCGAGGUACACACUUGCCUCGUUGGAGCCGAGGACUGACAACAGGCCGACUUGCACGGGGGAGAAAAAGGGCGGGUGAAAGAGCUCUUGCAGCGGACGGAGAGAGCGCCAACCAAGUCCCGCUGGUAAGUUGAAUCCUCACAGAGCUUUAUUUUCCUGUCUGGCCUGCAGGUGGAAAUCACACCUACUGCUGUGUGACAGACUACAAUAUUGGCAGAGCUGCUUUUGGCAAAACUCCCUUUUUAUCGUCCAUGUCUGCUGAGUUUUGUUCUGCCGUGACUAAGAGACGCUCAACGCUGUUUGCAUCUCUACAUUAAACAAACCUGCGUGUCUGUUGUUUUUUUUUUUUUCUGUGUGCGUCUGGGCUGGGGUUUUAUCCCGCGUGUUCUUGCAGCUGUUUAGAGUCGCGGCGUACGACAUGGAGUGGCACAAAGCGAUGACUUGACCCAGAUUUCUUGUUUUGUUCCAGUGUGGGAUUGUAAUGUCGGUGUAUGGUGUCUGUCAGAUUUGAGCUUCGUUGGGCUACCCUAAAGUGAGCUGGAGUACUGUUAGAGUAGGUUUUUAUUUAUUUAUUUUUUUAUAAAUUCUGCCAUAAGUUUAUAAUCCUUUAUAAUUGAGCUAUUGCUCUUCUGAAGUCUUAAUCAACACUUCCAGGCCCUUUACCUUCUAAGUCCUCCCAUGUACAUCGUUUGCUCAUUGUCACUUUCCAGAACAGAUACUUGUUACGGAUUACAUGAAGUGAUAUAAAGAUGUGGAUAAAAGAUGUGUGUUGUUGCACUAACAUACUGUUAGGUUAAAGAUUUUAUUGCGUGGAGGAAAUACGUAUUAGAAAAUAACUGUUUUUACCUAAAUCACUGGUGGCACAGUUAUCGGCACCCCUGCUGGUAAUACUUUGUACAACAUCAUACUAAAAGGAAGACAAUGCUGAGUCGUCUCCUUUAUGGUUAAAGCACAGAGAGACGGGGAUCUUUGACCGUUCGUCGUAGCACAGUCUCUCUAGCUCAUGUGUGGGCAACUCCAGUCCUCGAAGAUCAGUGUCCUGCAGAA